GACGAACGCUGGCGGCGUGCUUAACACAUGCAAGUCGAACGGAAAGGCCCUGCUUUUGUGGGGUGCUCGAGUGGCGAACGGGUGAGUAACACGAGAGUAACCUGCCCUUGACUUUGGGAUAACUUCACGAAACUGGGGCUAAUAUCGGAUAGGAGCUCCUGCUGCAUGGUGGGGGUUGGAAAGUUUCGGCGGUUGGGGAUGGAUUGGCGGCUUAUCAGCUUGUUGGUGGGGUAGUGGCUUACCAAGGCUUUCACGGGUAGCCGGCCUGAGAGGGUGACCGGGCACAAGAGGACUGCGAGAGGGAGCAGACGCCUACGGGAGGCAGCAGUGGGGAAUAUUGCACAGUGGGCGGGCGCCGGAUGCGACGGCGCCGCGUGCGGGAUGACGGUCUUCGGGGUGUAAACCGCUGUCGCCUGUGACGAAGCGGGAGUGACGGUAAUGGGUGAAGAAGCACCGGCUAACUACGUG
rnacentral:rRNA from 1 species